rnacentral:rRNA from 1 species
GGCCAGACUCCUACGGGAGGCAGCAGUGGGGGAUAUUGCACAAUGGGGGGAACCCUGAUGCAGCGACGCCGCGUGGGUGAAGGAGUAUUUCGGUAUGUAAAGCCCUAUCGGCAGGGAAGAAGCAAGACGGUACCUGACUAAGAAGCCCCGGCUAACUACGUGCCAGCAGCCGCGGUAAUACGUAGGGGGCAAGCGUUAUCCGGAUUUACUGGGUGUAAAGGGAGCGUAGACGGCAUGGCAAGUCAGAUGUGAAAGCCCGGGGCUCAACCCCGGGACUGCAUUUGAAACUGUCAGGCUGGAGUGCAGGAGAGGUAAGUGGAAUUCCCAGUGUAGCGGUGAAAUGCGUAGAUAUUAGGAGGAACACCAGUGGCGAAGGCGGCUUACUGGACUGUAACUGACGUUGAGGCUCGAAAGCGUGGGGAGCAAACAGGAUUAGAUACCCCCGUAGG